UCGGUUCGCGUGUGAAUUAUUUUAUUCUUAGUGCCGUGGAACGAGAAUAGAGAUCUGCGCCGACUCUAUUUUGCAAACCUCUCAAGCUGCUUGAUAUUCAAUCUGGAUUCUCUAGGUUGUCAUAACUGUGCUUUUCUGAUCACUAGAUUCGCUUCGCUUUUCAACCGGCACCGGUUCCCCGACAUGUUCCAGCCGGAAACCAUCCAGCUUCGGAACUGUCUCUCUGCGAACGUCAUAAAUCCGAGUGAGGAAAUGUGGUUCAAAGGCCUUUGAAAUUCCACACGUGUGGCUAAGUGGGAAAGUGGCAAAUCUUCAGUCGGAUCAGCACUCGGAACAUCGUUGGCUUGGAAACGAAGGCGACCAACGUCCGGCGCAUCGUGAGAUACAAACCUCUGCCGCACUCGCCAAUUAUUUCCGCAGUGGAAUAGCCCAACAGUGGAACGUCUACCAACCAACCUGUUAAGACGGGACCUUUGCCACCACUCUAGUGAACUGCUAUGGAAACUUGAUCCAGCUUUGUGGAAGUAGACUAUGACUGCAAGAGGACCAGCUGACAACAAGCAGCUAUUCCGAUGGAUGACAACUAAGGUAUC